rnacentral:rRNA from 1 species
CAGUCGCCGCGGUAACACGUAGGUGGCAAGCGUUGUCCGGAAUUAUUGGGCGUAAAGCGCGCGCAGGUGGUUUAAUAAGUCUGAUGUGAAAGCCCACGGCUCAACCGUGGAGGGUCAUUGGAAACUGUUAAACUUGAGUGCAGGAGAGAAAAGUGGAAUUCCUAGUGUAGCGGUGAAAUGCGUAGAUAUUGGGAAGAACACCAGUGGCGAAGGCGGCUCACUGGACCGACACUGACGCUGAGGCGCGAAAGCGUGGGGAGCAAACAGGAUUAGAUACCCCCGUAGUCCCCGUCUCUUAUAC